rnacentral:lncRNA from 1 species
GGAAGUUGAAAUUCAGCAGGUAGAAUACUUGGAGCCCAGGAACUACGGAGCGCCGGUCCUGAAAGUCGAAAUUCAGCAGGUACACGACUUGGAGCCCAAAAACUACGGAGCGCCGGUCCUGAAAGUCGAAAUUCUCCAGGUAGAAUACCUGGAGCCCAGGAACUACGGAGCGGCAAUCCUGAAAAUCAAAAUUGAACCGCAGUACCCGGAAGAUGGAGGAUCUGGUGCUCGAAAUUAGCGGAGCGCGAUUUUCGUACGUCUUCUCUACUGCGCGAUUAUUUCCGGACUGAGGAAUUCUGCUGACUGUUAUCGUGGUCGAAUAUAUGUAUA